rnacentral:lncRNA from 1 species
AGACGCGCUUUAUUUACAUUUUCGUCGGUCGUACUCUUCACGUGCGUUAUUAAGCGUGGCAUCAUGUAUGGAGGCCGGACGCUAUUAACCUAUUAAAGUCUACUGUCGUUGCCGCGGACUGUCCUCCGCUCGUCGCUUUUGCGACACUGUUUGUCGGCAAUACUUUUCGAAACGGACACUUUAACAUUCUACGACCAACAAAACAAAUCAAUUUAUUCUCUAAAAACUCUGAGAACUGAAAUUUUUCAAGUGCGCAAAUCUCGGGGAGAAUUAGUUCAAUUCCACUGGACUCGUAGACUUUUUUGACCUGGUGGAUCAACAAUCCUAUAUGAUUUUCAUUAAAGAGUCACUGGAAUGUCUCAUUGAAAGUCACAUAGCAACCGAUUAAUCGGGAAUAUCGCUGGCGCAAUAUAUGACGUGUAUCUCAAUUUUAAAUCGGGGGAAGAAUAACCGCGCGACGAGUGACAGUGACAGUAACAACAAUAGCUUCCUUUAUACGACACAUAUCGGAUUCAACGAGGUCGCCAUAAACCACUUAGUGUACGAACCUGUCUAUCAUUUCUCUUAAAAAAAUAUCUGCGCGAUAUUCAUAAAUUCCUCAACGAUUGAUUAUGCUACUCCAAUUAUCCGCUAAUAAACAUGUGUUCUACAUGUUUAAAUGAAUGUUUAUAAGCUAUUAGUAUCACAUUGCCUUUCAUACCAAUACGACAUAAGAAAGAUUUUCCAUGUUAAGUGUGUCACAUUUUAACAUUGCUCAAAGAAAUAGACGAUCAAGGGCCGGUUGUUAUCCGGAUAAACGAUGUGGUAAAUUAUCUAAUAGAUAAAUGUCUACAUCCAUAUGCCCAUUAUAUGUUUGUGUAUAUAGACGUAGACAUCCAUUAGAUUAGAUAAUUUGACGCAUAGUUUAUCCGAAGGUAGAACAACCUUAUAAUAAUAUUGUCGGCGCAAACGGCUAGAUUGCUGAAGGAAAGUCCUCGUGAAACGAAUUAAAAUGAUUCUCUUCAGUUUAGCCUUUUAAUGUCCAAGCAAGAAAUAGAAAGUUACGUAUCAAUAAAUUUAAAUCUAACGAUUUAAUAAUCUAAUACUUCUCGUAUACGAGAACAAGUCUUGGAAACCUCUAAAAAAAAACCGCGACGGAGAGAAAAAUCGUAAGUCAAGUUAUAACCAACUGCAGGAUUAAUGAUUUAUGAGCGGACGGUCGAGGUCUGACGAGGACGUCCUACGGAGAGUCGAUCGGAAAGCCGAUGGUUUCCCGUGAAACAAACGUUGCGCGCUGCUACCUUCCGUGGAAUGCGACCGCUUGCGAAAGGUGGAUGUGACGAGGUGCCCGGUAUCUCGCGAUAAAAAGCCUUGAGAGGAGCGUCACUUCGCCCCGCGUUUUAUUCCGCGGUGAGCGUUACGACCGACGUCUCUCGCGGCCAAUCUCGAGGCGUCGUCGUUCGCAUGAGGCACUUGUGGCAGUCACGAAGGCGUACCUACUCGGGUUUGACAGCGGCUUCGAGGAGCCCUCGAAAACUCCUCGGACGACAUUCCACGGCAGCCCACUUGACUUCAAUGCGACGUGUACUCACGCAUACGUAUACGACGGCGCUUCGCCACCGAGUACGCGGGAGAUCGGGAGAUCGAGUGGCGAUCGCUCGGUGGACGCGUUCCCCUCUAACGUGAUCAGUAGGUUGAACAUUCCUUACGUUUUAUCGGGGUUUCUCGAUCUAAUCGAGAAUUUUUUUUUUUGGUAGAUGUAAUAUUCAGUGAGGGUACGUGAGAAUUUUCUUUUGCUCGGAGAGCAUCGAUACAUUAAUUGUUUUUUAUAUAGAAGUAUUAUAUUUAUAAAAAGUUUAAAAAUUGUUAUAGUUUAAACAUUUCUUUAAUUCAAGAAUUAAAAAAAAAUUAUUCGAUGCGUAGCUUGUGAUAUAUAUAAACUUAAAAAUAUAUAAAUAAAAUCGCACAAGAAAUCUUUAUACGAAAAUCCAGCUGCGACUGAAUAAGGUUUGUCUUUAAUUUCAUUAAUUGUUUUUAUUGAUUGUGUUAAUCUAUCUCUCAUUAUCACUUGAAUCGUGUCUUCAAAUAUUAUUAAACUUUACUGCAAUGCAAUCAAACUUUAGAAUUGCAACACAAUUAAUACGAUGGUAGGUUUGCACACUGCGAUUAUUAUCUACGGCGAAAGAGGAAGUAGAACUCGGUGUACGCGGACGAACGGCAUUAGUAAACCUGGUGCGAGAAAACUGCCGGAAGACAGCGAUCAACAGUCGCCUCGAGGAGCUCGAUAAAUAAAUUAUCGUCGGCUUAUAAAUAACGAGCACGGCGAUAUGGUCCGCGCGCGUGAUCAUCCGCCUGUCUCUUCUCGGCAAGAAGAACGACGACCACGGCGAUCGAACAGGAAGUACAGACGGCGAUCGAAGCGGCCGCAGAUAACCGGCGGAUAAAUACUCGCCUAUGUCCCUUUAAGUAGCGUCGCACAGGCGGUUGCACGCCUUUUUUCUCUCCGCUCCGGUGACGAUCGCGAUACAUGUAAAUGAGAGCAGCGCGCGAUUGCGAUGGCGAUUUCGAUGCUCCAUAAAAAUAAAAAAUAAAAAAAGAUAGGCCUUCAAAGCAGUGAGAAUCAUCAUCGCAAAUGAAUUAGAUGUCGCCGUAUCAAAAAAUUGAUUUUAAUUACAGGGCAGUUAAAAUUUGAGGAUUUGUACAGAGUUUCGAUAUAAGGAUUUCAAAAUAUCGCGUAACAUUUAUAAAAUAUAAUCAAUUAUUAACGAUUACGAGAGUUUAAUAGCUGAGCAUUAAUUUCAAUUGAUUUAAGAGACAAGUUUUCAAGUCUCUCUAAAAAUUUAUUUCUCUCGCUUUCAACAACCUUCCCGCUUUCUAAAGUCGCGUGCGAUCUGAAGAAGCGCUCGUUCUUCAAGGAACGCCGCCGCCGCUUUUGCACGCGUAUAUUAUCCCUCACCCGCAAUACAAAUGCCCGUGCGCUUCUUCAUUAGGCUGUCCGAUAAUUGCACGCUCGCCAGUGCUCUGCAUGGACCUUUUGUCAAAUCGAUAAACUCAAUUUAUUCAUGAUUGCCAUGCCGCAGCUUGCAAUCCACUCCCGUAGACCCGGCAUACAUGCAUAAACGCCAUCCACGUUGCAUUCUGUUCGACGCUCCGGGGGACUGCGGUCCCGCGGCAUUCAUUGGACUUCUCUAUCAAUCCCAUUCAGCCGCUGGAUUAAUAGUCUCGAACUGCCGCGCCGUGCCAGCAAUACGCGGUUGUUUCGCGCUUCCUUUCACCAAGAGGUUCUUCACAAAUUUGAUUUAACGUCGUCCAUUUGAUAUUCAAGUUUAAAUACUUGGUAAAAGUCGAGAAAUAAAUAAUAGGUAUUAUAAGGACCUAGAACAGUGCCAUGGACUUUCGAUCCUCAACCUGGGAGGCAAGAAACCGGUACGCGGCAGGUGCGAAAAGCCGGCGUGAGGUGUCAUAAUUACCGAAUCGAGCGUGUCGAAAGCGGGGCUUUCUUUUUCUUCUCGUAAGUUUAUCGGUAGCAACUCGUAAUUCAGCCUAGGCCAACACGACCUAGACACGGGCGCAGCGCCGGAAUUUUUCUUCGAAGUCCCUUCGGGCAUCGGCAAAAUUCAACAUGGUUCCAGCGAAAUUUCAAAUUGACAGCAUCAAUUGUUAGUGAUUAGGCAUUUCGAGGAAUCGCGUGAUGGCAAAUAAUCGCCUUUACUGUGUCACUUCGUAAAGUUAUUUAAUUAUUUAUAGAUAACUUCCUUAAAAAAUUCUUUUCACUUACUUUCUGUAAUGAAUAGCAAUUUUAUAUAUUUCGUGGCAAUCUUAUAUAUGUAAUAAAUUCAAAUUUUAAUUAAGAUGCAAUAAAUUUUUAAUAAUAUUUUAAUAA